GAUGGUCUGCUGAUUUGGAUUCUUUAAUCGAAACCUGGUGUAGUUGUUGUGGCGGCGGUGGAGUCCACGUUGCCAAUUGGUUCUGGGUUUCGGAGAAUAUGACUCGGUUGAGAUCGGACGGCGGAGAGCAAGUGUUGCUGAGUCGACUCGGGCAGUGGGGUUGAAACGGAUCGGCGCCAUAGAGACCGAAAUCAGCAUUGUUCCCCUGCCACGUGUCGCAUGCAUAAGGCAGGUUGGAACUAUCCGUUGAAUCCCCACCGCCUAUUAUGCUAUCC
rnacentral:lncRNA from 1 species